GACGAACGCUGGCGGCGUGCUUAACACAUGCAAGUCGAGCGGUAAGGCCCUUUCGGGGGUACACGAGCGGCGAACGGGUGAGUAACACGUGGGUGACCUGCCCUCAGCUCUGGGAGUAAGCCUGGGAAACCGGGGUACUAAUACCGGAUAUGACUCCAUGACGCAUGUUGUGGGGUGGAAAGCCUUGUGCGGCUGAGGAUGGGCCCGCGGCCUAUCAGCUUGUUGGUGGGGGAUGGCCUACCAAGGCGACGACGGGUAGCCGGCCUGAGAGGGCGACCGGCCACACUGGGACUGAGACACGGCCCAGACUCCUACGGGAGGCAGCAGUGGGGAAUCUUGCGCAAUGGGCGAAAGCCUGACGCAGCGACGCCGCGUGAGGGAUGACGGCCU
rnacentral:rRNA from 1 species